GACGAACGCUGGCGGCGUACUUAACACAUGCAAGUCGAACGGAAAGGCCUCUUUCGGGGGGUACUCGAGUGGCGAACGGGUGAGUAACACGUGAGUAACCUGCCCUUGACUUUGGGAUAACUUCAGGAAACUGGGGCUAAUACCGGAUAGGAGCUCCUGCUGCAUGGUGGGGGUUGGAAAGUUUCGGCGGUUGGGGAUGGACUCGCGGCUUAUCAGCUUGUUGGUGGGGUAGUGGCUUACCAAGGCUUUGACGGGUAGCCGGCCUGAGAGGGUGACCGGCCACAUUGGGACUGAGAUACGGCCCAGACUCCUACGGGAGGCAGCAGUGGGGAAUAUUGCACAAUGGGUGGAAGCCUGAUGCAGCAACGCCGUGUGCGGGAUGACGGCCUUCGGGUUGUAAACCGCUUUCGCUCAUGACGAAGCUUUGUGUGACGGUAGUGGGUAAAGAAGCACCGGCUAACUACGU
rnacentral:rRNA from 1 species